GUAUGCAGGAGGAGAUCGAGACAGAGAGUGCUACGAUGAGCUGAAGGCAGUGCUGGAGUAAGACUGAAGAAACACAGCAGAAGGGGAACGAAGGUAGAGAGAGAGAGGGAGGGAGGGAGAGAGUGCUCCUCUGAUAAAACCUAUAGGAGCAAUCUGUCCACUCCGAAGGUGGGAGGGAGAGAGAGAGAGAGAGAGAGAGAGAGAGAGAGAGAAACAGAGCACGGGAACGUCAGAGUUGGAAGACAGAGUUGGUCCUGGUCUUUGCACCCUGUGCUCGGAGCAGAUGGCAGCUCUCUCGUAGUGUGUUUUCUUCAGCUGCUGCAAGGCUGAGGGCAGCUGUAUGUGCCAGAAGACUGAGAUGCAGAGCAUUGUGGAGAGAGCAACCUGAGGAACGUGACCAACCCACAAUUCUGGCUCCAGACAUUACCAUCCAUCUUCAAAAUGUGUUGUUGGAUAACCAGACUGCACUAAGGAGAGAUUUUCUAGCAUCUUUAACAAAAA